rnacentral:rRNA from 1 species
GAUGAACGCUGGCGGCGUGCUUAACACAUGCAAGUCGAGCGAGAAGUUUUGAAAAGAUUCUUCGGAUGAAAUUUAAAAUGGAAAGCGGCGGACGGGUGAGUAACGCGUAGGCAACCUGCCCCAUACAAAGGGAUAGCAUUUGGAAACGAAUAUUAAUACCUUAUGAAACUUAACUAGUGCAUGCUAGGUAGGUCAAAGAUUUAUCGGUAUGGGAUGGGCCUGCGUCUGAUUAGCUAGUUGGUGAGGUAACGGCUCACCAAGGCGACGAUCAGUAGCCGACCUGAGAGGGUGAACGGCCACAUUGGAACUGAGACACGGUCCAAACUCCUACGGGAGGCAGCAGUGGGGAAUAUUGCACAAUGGGGGAAACCCUGAUGCAGCAACGCCGCGUGAACGAUGAAGGCCUUUGGGUCGUAAAGUUCUGUUCUAGGUGAUGAAAACUGAC